CCUACGGGAGACAGCAGUGAGGAAUAUUGGUCAAUGGGCGCGAGCCUGAACCAGCCAAGUCGCGUGAGGGAAGACGGUCCUAUGGAUUGUAAACCUCUUUUGUCGGGGAGCAAAAGACGCCACGCGUGGCGUUUCGAGAGUACCCGAAGAAAAAGCAUCGGCUAACUCCGUGCCAGCAGCCGCGGUAAUACGGAGGAUGCGAGCGUUCUCCGGAUUUAUUGGGUUUAAAGGGUGCGCAGGCGGAAGAUCAAGUCAGCGGUAAAAUUGAGGGGCUCAACCUCAUCGAGCCGUUGAAACUGGUUUUCUUGAGUGAAUGAGAGGUAUGCGGAAUGCGUGGUGUAGCGGUGAAAUGCAUAGAUAUCACGCAGAACUCCGAUUGCGAAGGCAGCAUACCGGCGCUCAACUGACGCUCAUGCACGAAAGUGUGGGUAUCGAACAGGAUUAGAUACCCGAGUAGUC
rnacentral:rRNA from 1 species